GUGAGGAAUAUUGGUCAAUGGGCGAGAGCCUGAACCAGCCAAGUCGCGUGAAGGAAGAAGGAUCUAUGGUUCGUAAACUUCUUUUGCAGGGGAAUAAAGUGCGGGACGUGUCCUGUUUUGUAUGUACCUUGAGAAUAAGGAUCGGCUAACUCCGUGCCAGCAGCCGCGGUAAUACGGAGGAUCCGAGCGUUAUCCGGAUUUAUUGGGUUUAAAGGGUGCGUAGGUGGUUUGAUAAGUCAGCGGUGAAAGUUUGCAGCUUAACUGUAAAAAUGCCGUUGAAACUGUCGGACUUGAGUGUAAAUGAGGUAGGCGGAAUGCGUGGUGUAGCGGUGAAAUGCAUAGAUAUCACGCAGAACUCCGAUUGCGAAGGCAGCUUACUAAGCUACAACUGACACUGAAGCACGAAAGCGUGGGGAUCAAACAGGAUUAGAAACCCGAGUAGUCC
rnacentral:rRNA from 1 species